UACAAGCUAACAAUUAUGGUCUUGGCCAUC
rnacentral:sRNA from 1 species